rnacentral:lncRNA from 1 species
GGAAGUCAUUUAAAACACAAGUUUACAUUAAACAGUCAUAUGCUUAUUCACACAGGAGACAAGCCUCAUGUGUGUGAAGUGUGUAAGAAGUCAUUUCGUCGUAAGUAUAGUUUAACCACUCAUAUGCUUAUUCAUGCAGGAAAGAAAUCUUAUGUGUGUGAAGUAUGUAAAAAGUCAUUUAGUCAGAAGGGUAGUUUAGAGACUCAUAAGCUUAUUCACACAGGAGAGAAACCUCAUGUGUGUGAAGUAUGUAGGAAGUCAUUUAGGCACAAGGUUACUUUAACCAGUCAUAUGCUUAUUCACACAGGUGAAAAUCCUCUUGUGUAAAAUGUCUUUGUGUAGAAUAUAAGAAAUUUUUUAAUCAGAAGGGUAAAUUUAACAGGAAUGUGCAUAUUCAUGGAGCAGAGAAAACUUGUGUCUGAAGUAUUUAAAAAUUAACUUUUAUAAAGGAUGAGUAAAAUAUGCAGAUCCACAGAAGAGAGAAAUCUGUCAUGUUAUGUAUGUAAUAAUUCAUUUGGAUAGUAGAAUUAUUUGAAGACAUAUAUGUACCUGUACAAGAAGAGAAAUCUUCUGCCUUUUGCAGAGAUGUUAAAUUGGUAUCAUCCUUUAAUUAUUAGUGUAGGAAUGAUGUGUCCAGCAGCAAAGAGACCUCAGUUUUUGAGUCAAAAAUGGGUUUCAGAAGAUGUUCGGUAUUUAGUGGUAGCACAAUUCUUGGAAUUUAGAGAGGCAUUCAGUAGCAGAAUUUUAGAUUUAAAGGCAUUAUAAUGUGUGAUGUAAAACUUACUGCUGACCCUGUGUGCUGUUUGUAAAUUGUCAUUUGAUAAAAGAUAAGGAAGAAACCGUUUAUUUCUUUUUGGAAAACGUAAACCUUCAUUUAUGCAAGGUAUAUCUCAAGUCUGUUUUAAGUAAUGUUAAAUUGAAGCUACAUUUGCUACUAUCCUGUCCUAAAGGGUUUAAAUAUGCUUAUACCAAUCUUGAUUGAACAGCUGUUCUACAAAUGACAUCAUUGACUGAUGUCAUUUGCAUAUAUUCUACUUAUUCCAAAGACACAGGAUUGCAAUUUUCACAGUUUUUGUAUAACACGUAUGUGCUCAGUGUUACAUCUGUGACCUUUCAAAAUGCAUUUUCUUGAUCAUAUGCGAUUCUGAAUCAUGGCAAAAUAUUGUUUCUCAUAUGGGUUUUAUUGUGAUGAAAUACUAAAGACCUGCAGUUAAAUGACAUUGUUCAUUUUUUUUACAUCCUUUUUAGCCAAGUAGAGGAAUUAUCAGAAAAUAUUAUUCUCAGUAUUACUAUCCAGCUGCAAUAUCAAAUGUGUCAAAUGCAUAACAUUCAUAAGGCCAGUAUAGGGUUAUAACAUUAUACUGAUGAAGGAAAACGAGGUCUCAAAUAUAUUCAAAUCCUGGCCAUAGCAAGUAGAGCAACCUAAUGAGAGUGAAGUACCUAAGAAGAAAUUUAAAGGAAUAAGUCACUACGGAUAUAUCAUUUCCAAGCAGCAUUCAUCUGAAUGUGAUACUUAAAAUACCCUAAAGUUUUAAAUACUUGUUUGCACUGGCAAAAUUCUGAGCCAGAGAAUGGACAAAGCCUGAAACUGAACUGAACAGGUAAACUCAUUCUCAGCAUGAGCUGGAACAUGUAUACUUGAUGACUCCAUUCAGCCAGAGACGUGCAAAUUUUGUCGGAAGUAUUUUGUUGACAUUGCAUGCUGAUUGAUGGCACAAAAUUCAACGUAGGAUGUUAGAUGUUCUGAAAUUGUACAUAUGUGCUAUUAAAUAUGAUACAAAACUAAAAGUUUCUCAAAUGAAAAACAAUAUUCUUUUACUUGUUGUUUGUAAUUUGCUGCAAAGGUCAAAAGAAAUUUUAUGCAAAUUUAGUCUUUCUUUAACGCUGAUGGUUGUAUGUCAAGUUAUCGGUUUACUGACUCAUAAUUAAUGCUAUGUAUAUAUUUAUGCAAGUAUACAGAGAAUGUGAUUUAUACAAUAUAUUCAAUAAAAGCAGUACAAAGAUGUGAUAUGUGAAUUGAGAUAUCGAAUAUAAUUUCAUUUUGAAUUUAAAUACUUAUAUAAAUGAAAAAUAUUUUUACAUUCAAUUACAUAGAUUUCUGGCAAUAUUUAAAAUAAAAUUCAUUGGUAUUUAUUACAUAUUCUUAUCCAGCUUAUAUUACUUUUGCUUAUUCUAAUUGUUUUUAAGCUGAUUAGAAAUCCAUAGCUUAAUUUCCACCCCAUUUCAUCUGUGAUUUCACUAAAUAUGCUUGAACUGUGUUUUAUACAAUUUGCAGUGAAACUUAAUACAUUUUAAUUAAAAUUAUUCAGUGUCACAGGAUUUCAGUGCCAAACUUUAAUGUAUUGUGAUAGCUAGGAGUUCCAAAUUUUAAAAAAAUGAUUAAAAAUGUCUAUACUUAUUUGGAUAAUUUCUUGACUUUAAUUUUGUCAUUAUCAGGUGUAUUUAAGCAUUCGAUGACCUAAUGAAUGGGAAAGGACUUUGUAUCCAAGAAAAGGAAAAAAAAAAAAAAAAGUUAAUUUAUUAAUUUUUUUAGUAUUAUCCUAUUUUUUCUCAAAGCUCUCUGCAUUCGAUUGCAAUACUUUAAAGUACUUUUUUUGUGUGUUAAAAUUUUAUUUUUUUCAUGUGUGAUUAAGGGGAUGCUAGAUACAGUUACACAGGAAAAAAUUAGAUGGGUUAAUAUGUAUUGUUCAGAAUGAGUACUUUAGUACUUAUGCAUUGAUGACACUGCAAAAAAAAAGGGGGGGGGAGGGUUGGAUUAUUAAUUAAUAAUUUUCACAUGGAUUUUUUUAUUUGCUUUUUUUCUUAAUUGUUACUUAUUUUAAAUGAAAAGCAAAAUUCGCUAGUGUAAAAUGGAUAAAGAAACAUCAGCAGAACUGUCUAUCCUUACCUAAACUUUUGCAUACUUAAAUUCAUGUGGAAUGGGAUGCAAAAAAAGGUGCAAAGUUUUUUGGCAAAAAUAAGUUUUGUGCAUCUUUUGUAAUCUGAAAUUAAUGUGGCAAAACCUGAUUUAUAUUUUUUAUUUGUAAAAUUUUGUAACAAUUUUGCAUUUAAUUAAAUAUUUUUCUUUCUAA